rnacentral:rRNA from 1 species
UACGGAGGGGGCUAGCGUUGUUCGGAAUUACUGGGCGUAAAGCGCACGUAGGCGGCUUUGUAAGUUAGAGGUGAAAGCCCAGAGCUCAACUCUGGAACUGCCUUUAAGACUGCAUCGCUUGAAUCAUGGAGAGGUCAGUGGAAUUCCGAGUGUAGAGGUGAAAUUCGUAGAUAUUCGGAAGAACACCAGUGGCGAAGGCGACUGACUGGACAUGUAUUGACGCUGAGGUGCGAAAGCGUGGGUAGCAAACAGG